GACAAGGAGAGCAAUUACACAAGAAGGUCUCUCUCUCUCGGUGCAUGCUGGGAGUGUUUGUGGUGUGUGAGGGUUUCACAGGGAGUGCGGGAGUUUGUUUCGGAUUGCACAUUUCUACUGCAAAUUUAAAUGUAUUAGAAGAGGUAUACUUUUUGACUAAGGAAGCAAAGACUUUGUGGCGGCAUCGAGAUGGCGUCUCACCCCGCGGCCGCGGAGGUGUUGGCGUCACCUGUGUUGCUCCGUCAUGGCUUCAGGUGUGUGCCUGCACAAGGCGUGACGGUGGAGGACGUUUUACUGGUGGUUGGAGAAAUAAUCGGAUUUGAAAAUAUUUCUUCGGCGUCGAGGAUGAAUAAGGCGUUAGUGGUGUUUGUGAAGGAGGAAGGAAGGACUGGCAAAUCGAUUGAUAGGCGAUGGAAUUGUGGAUGGUGUCAUGGACCACUAACUCGAUGCAUGGAGACGAUUUGGGAACAAUGAUGAAACCACCUGCAACCAUUUCCUUCGGCACUUUCUGGGUUCCAGAACCUGAUUCAUGAACGUUUCUUUGGGGGAGGUGGCGGAAGGCCUGACAUUGUUAUGUCUGGAACACAUCAACGGUGAGACAGAACAGCAACAGAUCUGAUGCACAGAGUGGCUCACUACAAAAGAAGAUGGGUCUGAGUUUCUGUUAAAGUAUUUACAACAGCUUCCUAUGUAAUUCCUCAAAGGUAUCACAGUAAAUCAUUAUUAUUGAAACAAAAUAAAAACCAUAUCCUUGA